rnacentral:rRNA from 1 species
GCUACACAUGCAGUCGAGCGGAACGACACUAACAAUCCUUCGGGUGCGUUAAUGGGCGUCGAGCGGCGGACGGGUGAGUAAUGCCUAGGAAAUUGCCUUGAUGUGGGGGAUAACCAUUGGAAACGAUGGCUAAUACCGCAUAAUGCCUACGGGCCAAAGAGGGGGAUCUUCGGACCUCUCGCGUCAAGAUAUGCCUAGGUGGGAUUAGCUAGUUGGUGAGGUAAUGGCUCACCAAGGCGACGAUCCCUAGCUGGUCUGAGAGGAUGAUCAGCCACACUGGAACUGAGACACGGUCCAGACUCCUACGGGAGGCAGCAGUGGGGAAUAUUGCACAAUGGGCGAAAGCCUGAUGCAGCCAUGCCGCGUGUAUGAAGAAGGCCUUCGGGUUGUAAAGUACUUUCAGUUGUGAGGAAGGGUGUGUAGUUAAUAGCUGCGCAUCUUGACGUUAGCAACAGAAGAAGCACCGGCUAACUCCGUGCCAGCAGCCGCGGUAAUACGGAGGGUGCGAGCGUUAAUCGGAAUUACUGGGCGUAAAGCGCAUG